UACGGAGGGGGCUAGCGUUGUUCGGGAUUACUGGGCGUAAAGCGCACGUAGGCGGAUUGGAAAGUUGGGGGUGAAAUCCCAGGGCUCAACCCCGGAACUGCCUCCAAAACUUCCAGUCUUGAGUUCGAGAGAGGUGAGUGGAAUUCCGAGUGUAGAGGUGAAAUUCGUAGAUAUUCGGAGGAACACCAGUGGCGAAGGCGGCUCACUGGCUCGAUACUGACGCUGAGGUGCGAAAGCGUGGGGGGCAAACAGG
rnacentral:rRNA from 1 species